UCCCAAGGGCAACCUUCAGAUUCUCCCAAAUAAACCAGAAAUAGGAGGCCCUGGGCCCCUCCUACCACUUUUCAGCAGUGGAGCUGAGCCUGUGUUCCAGUUGCUCCCGCAGGCAGUUGUUAAUGCAGAUGGAUUCCUCCAGGUGCUGGCGCAGGUUCCAGAUUCUACCAAGAUGCUCCUCUAGCAGGAGCCUCAACUGAGCCCACAUACUGAAAACACAGAACUCAGAGAGGAGAUGGAAGAAAGGAAAUCAACGGUUUUGGAGGAUGAGACAACCCAAAGCAAAGCAAGGUAAUGAUCGAGGAGCUGUUUGCCAAGGGAGGUGAGGAUAAGGACAAGUUGAGCUCAGAAAAUUCAAGAGGAAGUGAGGAAUGCACAGUAUCAUCCAAGUCCUCAAGGAGCAGCCUGAGCUGAGCAGGAAGGACCGGGAGAGUAACUUAGUCCACUGUGAACUUGCGCACCUGCCGAGGAGAUCCACACGCUGGGUCAGUGUUGGUUCAUCCUGCUGGGAGCACCAGUUCCAGGAGGAGGACAAUGGGACCUUGAGGCUCUGCCCUAGACCCCCAGCCUCAAACUUGGAAGUGGCCACACUGUGGAUGUCCUCCAAGUGGGAUAUCAUGGCCGCCAGAGGAUGGGAGGAUACACCAAGGACCUCUCUUUCUAAUGACAGUGUGAACCUGCUGGAGGAAUCCCUGAGGACAGUCAUGUCUUCAUCAGAGUCAGCUCAGGCGAGUGUCCUAGGGCAAGGAUAGUGUAG
rnacentral:lncRNA from 1 species